rnacentral:tRNA from 3 species
GCGCCCGUAGCUCAGCGGAUAGAGCGCCGGGCUUCGAACCCGUAGGUCGCAGGUUCGAAUCCUGCCGGGCGCA